rnacentral:rRNA from 1 species
UACGUAGGGGGGCAAGCGUUGUCCGGAAUCAUUGGGCGUAAAGAGCGUGUAGGCGGUCCGGUAAGUCGGCUGUGAAAGUCCAGGGCUCAACCCUGGGAUGCCGGUCGAUACUGCCGGACUAGAGUUCGGAAGAGGCGAGUGGAAUUCCCCGGUGUAGCGGUGAAAUGCGCAGAUAUCGGGGAGGAACACCUAUGGCGAAGGCAGCUCGCUGGGACGUUACUGACGCUGAGAACGCGAAAGCGUGGGGGAGCAAACAGG